UUAAGCGACUAAGCGUACACGGUGGAUGCCCUGGCAGUCAGAGGCGAUGAAGGACGUGCUAAUCUGCGAUAAGCGCCGGUAAGGUGAUAUGAACCGUUAUAACCGGCGAUUUCCGAAUGGGGAAACCCAGUGUGAUUCGUCACACUAUCAUUAACUGAAUCCAUAGGUUAAUGAGGCGAACCGGGGGAACUGAAACAUCUAAGUACCCCGAGGAAAAGAAAUCAACCGAGAUUCCCCCAGUAGCGGCGAGCGAACGGGGAGGAGCCCAGAGCCUGAAUCAGCAUGUGUGUUAGUGGAAGCGUCUGGAAAGGUGCGCGAUACAGGGUGACAGCCCCGUACACAAAAGCGCAUGUGCUGUGAGCUCGAUGAGUAGGGCGGGACACGUGGUAUCCUGUCUGAAUAUGGGGGGACCAUCCUCCAAGGCUAAAUACUCCUGACUGACCGAUAGUGAACCAGUACCGUGAGGGAAAGGCGAAAAGAACCCCGGCGAGGGGAGUGAAAAAGAACCUGAAACCGUGUACGUACAAGCAGUGGGAGCACAGGUUUACCUGUGUGACUGCGUACCUUUUGUAUAAUGGGUCAGCGACUUAUAUUCUGUAGCAAGGUUAACCGUAUAGGGGAGCCGUAGGGAAACCGAGUCUUAACCGGGCGUUAAGUUGCAGGGUAUAGACCCGAAACCCGGUGAUCUAGCCAUGGGCAGGUUGAAGGUUGGGUAACACUAACUGGAGGACCGAACCGACUAAUGUUGAAAAAUUAGCGGAUGACCUGUGGCUGGGGGUGAAAGGCCAAUCAAACCGGGAGAUAGCUGGUUCUCCCCGAAAGCUAUUUAGGUAGCGCCUCGUGAAUUCAUCUCCGGGGGUAGAGCACUGUUUCGGCUAGGGGGCCAUCCCGGCUUACCAACCCGAUGCAAACUGCGAAUACCGGAGAAUGUUAUCACGGGAGACACACGGCGGGUGCUAACGUCCGUCGUGAAGAGGGAAACAACCCAGACCGCCAGCUAAGGUCCCAAAGUCAUGGUUAAGUGGGAAACGAUGUGGGAAGGCCCAGACAGCCAGGAUGUUGGCUUAGAAGCAGCCAUCAUUUAAAGAAAGCGUAAUAGCUCACUGGUCGAGUCGGCCUGCGCGGAAGAUGUAACGGGGCUAAACCAUGCACCGAAGCUGCGGCAGCGAACGUAUCACUUAAAGCGAUUCAGCGGGUUACGAUUGACGGAGCGAAGCGACGUCAAAGCGUAUACAAAGUCGAGUCGGUUUAAGGAUACGUUCGUUGGGUAGGGGAGCGUUCUGUAAGCCCGUGAAGGUGGCCUGUGAGGGUUGCUGGAGGUAUCAGAAGUGCGAAUGCUGACAUAAGUAACGAUAAAGCGGGUGAAAAGCCCGCUCGCCGGAAGACCAAGGGUUCCUGUCCAACGUUAAUCGGGGCAGGGUGAGUCGACCCCUAAGGCGAGGCCGAAAGGCGUAGUCGAUGGGAAACGGGUUAAUAUUCCCGUACUUGGUGUUACUGCGAAGGGGGGACGGAGAAGGCUAUGUUGGCCGGGCGACGGUUGUCCCGGUUUAAGCGUGUAGGUGUGUGUUCCAGGUAAAUCCGGUUCACUUUAACACUGAGGCGUGACGACGAGGCACUACGGUGCUGAAGCAACAAAUGCCCUGCUUCCAGGAAAAGCCUCUAAGCAUCAGGUAACACGAAAUCGUACCCCAAACCGACACAGGUGGUCAGGUAGAGAAUACCAAGGCGCUUGAGAGAACUCGGGUGAAGGAACUAGGCAAAAUGGUGCCGUAACUUCGGGAGAAGGCACGCUGACACGUAGGUGAAGUGAUUUACUCAUGGAGCUGAAGUCAGUCGAAGAUACCAGCUGGCUGCAACUGUUUAUUAAAAACACAGCACUGUGCAAACACGAAAGUGGACGUAUACGGUGUGACGCCUGCCCGGUGCCGGAAGGUUAAUUGAUGGGGUCAGCGUAAGCGAAGCUCCUGAUCGAAGCCCCGGUAAACGGCGGCCGUAACUAUAACGGUCCUAAGGUAGCGAAAUUCCUUGUCGGGUAAGUUCCGACCUGCACGAAUGGCGUAAUGAUGGCCAGGCUGUCUCCACCCGAGACUCAGUGAAAUUGAACUCGCUGUGAAGAUGCAGUGUACCCGCGGCAAGACGGAAAGACCCCGUGAACCUUUACUAUAGCUUGACACUGAACAUUGAGCCUUGAUGUGUAGGAUAGGUGGGAGGCUUUGAAGUGUGGACGCCAGUCUGCAUGGAGCCGACCUUGAAAUACCACCCUUUAAUGUUUGAUGUUCUAACGUGGACCCGUAAUCCGGGUUGCGGACAGUGUCUGGUGGGUAGUUUGACUGGGGCGGUCUCCUCCUAAAGAGUAACGGAGGAGCACGAAGGUUGGCUAAUCCUGGUCGGACAUCAGGAGGUUAGUGCAAUGGCAUAAGCCAGCUUGACUGCGAGCGUGACGGCGCGAGCAGGUGCGAAAGCAGGUCAUAGUGAUCCGGUGGUUCUGAAUGGAAGGGCCAUCGCUCAACGGAUAAAAGGUACUCCGGGGAUAACAGGCUGAUACCGCCCAAGAGUUCAUAUCGACGGCGGUGUUUGGCACCUCGAUGUCGGCUCAUCACAUCCUGGGGCUGAAGUAGGUCCCAAGGGUAUGGCUGUUCGCCAUUUAAAGUGGUACGCGAGCUGGGUUUAGAACGUCGUGAGACAGUUCGGUCCCUAUCUGCCGUGGGCGCUGGAGAACUGAGGGGGGCUGCUCCUAGUACGAGAGGACCGGAGUGGACGCAUCACUGGUGUUCGGGUUGUCAUGCCAAUGGCACUGCCCGGUAGCUAAAUGCGGAAGAGAUAAGUGCUGAAAGCAUCUAAGCACGAAACUUGCCCCGAGAUGAGUUCUCCCUGAGACUUAGAGUCUCCUGAAGGAACGUUGAAGACGACGACGUUGAUAGGCCGGGUGUGUAAGCGCAGCGAUGCGUUGAGCUAACCGGUACUAAUGAACCGUGAGGCUUAACCUU
rnacentral:rRNA from 1 species